CUUGCCUUGAGCUGCAGCCGCCUUUCACUUCCGCUAGGGUUCCGUUCGACUGUCACAUAAACUAAAGGGGCUUCUACUCCAUUUCUGCGAGCCAUCCUUGGGUUGGUGCACUCCGAGGUCCCGUGUCGAAGCUCCGUUAGCCCUCUUCCAGGUGGGUGAGGCUCUCGUGGUCAACCAGGGAAUGACGACUUCGCUACUUAACUAUCUGGGCUAGAUCUCGAAUGUCUUUCUUUCAUGUUUUCUUUAGGGCUAUGGCCCCUGUAUUCGUGGUUAUUAGAUUGUAAACUUUUAGUUAAACAACUAUCCUGCUUUUGUUGGCAUCGUGGUGUGCCUAGUCUUGUAGGGGUGUUGAGAACCCCGGGACUGCG